GGGCCCGUAGCUCAGGGGUAGAGCAGCGGCCUUUUAAGCCGUUGGUCGAAGGUUCAAAUCCUUCCGGGCCCACCA
rnacentral:tRNA from 2 species